rnacentral:lncRNA from 1 species
AUAUUUUUGUAGAAACCAUGAUACGUUAUCUUAUCAGGAUUCUUUAAUGAAUAGAAAGUUUUAAAGAACAGGGAUUAUUUGAAAUUGUAACAUUAUAAAUAUCUGUAUUGACCCCAGACUUUUUAACUGUAGUACAAAUUAUUGGUACAAGAUCCUAAACUUUGUAUAGGUAACUACUGUUGUGAUCUGUAGGCUAUGGUCCAGCAGCAGAUAUGAUUAAUGGACGAGGAAUUAUGAACAAUGGUAAAGCCUUUACUGCAUCUGUCAAUCAGUGCUAGUUUUUAUCAUCUUAUAGUAGCAUACAAAUUAUCCGUUCCUAUAUGUAAGUAAUCAGUAAAAAGGUUCUGUAAAUAAUACAUUUAUCAUGUUCAUUGGAAGUAAAGGGAGAGUGAAAGGCAAUGCAUGCUGAAAGACUGUUUUUAAAGCAUAAUCAUAGGAUAAGUGAUGGGAUGGGAACUAUGUUGUAUUCUCAGUGUUGAGAUAAACCACUGUUGUGAUACAAUACAGGACCAGUUUUGCCCAAUGCACAGGGCACCAAACCAUUCAAUAAGGGAUACGGCCUUGGUGCUGCUGGCUUUCUUGGAGCUGGUUUUACUAAUGGAUAUGGAGCAGGUAUCAGAAAUUUUGAAAUAUUGUUUUUCUCUCAGAGGUACCAGUGUCAUUAAUACAAGCUCUAGAAUAUUCAUAUUUGCUAAAGCACUUAUUAUUUAUUGCUGAUGCAGGUCUUGGGGCAGGUGGAUAUCCACAGGGAGUCGAGCAGGAAAGCAGAUUGGUAACUAAUGUUUAAUUAGUUCAUUAUAUAGAGGAGACCGGGGCUAGUUGUCACAAGGGCUACAUAUCAGCAACUGUGAGGUUUUGAGUCUAAAGUCUAAUUAUAUAAAAG